AGCAGGAUGCAGGUGAGGCACAGAGGGCUUGCUGUGGAGCCGCAUCUUGCAGCUGGGGGCACUGAGGCCUGAGAAGCUCUGACAGGCCAUGCACUGGUGUCUGAACCAGGACCUGCUCGAGGUCACCUUCCUCCCAGACCACUGAAGUGACUGUGGUGGUGAGAGGUUCAGUAGGUUUCAUGCUGCCUGGACUUUCCAAAAAGGAUGUUUGCUGAUGGGAUAGCUUGUUGGAGGAGGAAGAUUCUGUAGAAAUUCAGUUCCCUUGUAUGUUCCCAGCCUCUGGCAGGAGUUGGGGAUAAAACUGAGCCCGUGGUACAAUGGGGAGACAGCUAGAGAUAUUUUCUACUGCUCACAAGUCAGAACUUGGACUGAUACAGAGGUUUAAUUGACUAUCACAAAAGGAAUGGGGGCAUGGCUGCCGUAUAAAGUGGUCACAAGACUGUCAUUUCAGCCCACAUCAAAGACAGCAGCGCAUUUAAACCACGGCAGGUGAUGAUCCUACCCACUCUUCUCUCAUCAGCCCUUGGGUGCUGCACAGCUCUGCAUUCUGCUCUGAGCACCAUGAUUUUAACAGACACUCAUUUGUGAAGUGUGUUUAGGAAGUCGAGGCCUUUUGAAAUCUUGCUGCUUUAGUAAGAAACUACUAGGGAACUACUGGAACAUCUCAGGGGGCAAUAUGAUUGUCAGGCCUCUGAGCCCAAGCUAAGCCAUCAUAUCCCCUGUGACCUGCAUGUAUACAUCCAGAUGGCCCUAAGCAACUGAAGAUCCACAAAAGAAGUAAAAAUAGCCUUAACUGAUGACAUUCCACCAUUGUGAUUUGUUCCCGCCCCACCCUAACUGAUACAAUAGUCUCCCCCACCCUUAAGAAGGCACAUUGUAAUAUUCUCCCCUGCCCUUAAGAAUGUAUUUUGUAAGCCUAUCCCAAACCUAUAAGAACUAAUGAUAAUCCCACCACAUUUUGCUGACUCUCUUUUCUGAC